UACGGAGGAUGCGAGCGUUAUCCGGAUUUAUUGGGUUUAAAGGGUGCGCAGGCGGCGUGUCAAGUCAGCGGUAAAAUGUCGGGGCUCAACCCCGGCCGGCCGUUGAAACUGGCGUGCUCGAGUUGGAGAGAAGUAUGCGGAAUUCGUGGUGUAGCGGUGAAAUGCAUAGAUAUCACGCAGAACUCCGAUUGCGAAGGCAGCGUACCGGCAUCCAACUGACGCUGAGGCACGAAAGCGUGGGGAUCAAACAGG
rnacentral:rRNA from 1 species